UACGGUGAAUACGUUCCCGGACCUUGCACACACCGCCCGUCAAGCCAUGGAAGCUGGGUGUACCUAAAGUCGGUAACCGUAAGGAGCCGCCUAGGGUAAAACUAGUAACUGGGGCU
rnacentral:rRNA from 1 species